CCUACGGGUGUCAGCAGUGGUGAAUAUUGCACAAUGGGGGAAACCCUGAUGCAGCGACGCCGCGUGAGUGAAGAAGUAUUUCGGUAUGUAACGCUCUAUCAGCAGGGAAGAAAAUGACGUUACCUGACUAAGAAGCCCCGGCUAACUACGUGCCAGCAGCCGCGGUAAUACGUAGGGGGCAAGCGGUAGCCGGAGUUACUGGUUGUAAAGGGAGCGUAGACGGCCAGACAAGUCAGAAGUGAAAGCACAGGGCUCAACCCUGGGACUGUUUUUGAAACUGGCGGGCUGGCGUGCAGGAGAGGUAAGCGGAAUUCCGAGUGUAGCGGUGACAUGCGUAGAUAUUAGGAGGAACACCAGUGGCGAAGGCGGCUUACUGGACUGUAACUGACGUUGAGGCUCGAAAGCGUGGGGAGCAAACAGGAUUAGAUACCCUAGUAGUC
rnacentral:rRNA from 1 species